UAGGGAAUCUUCCACAAUGGGCGCAAGCCUGAUGGAGCAACACCGCGUGAGUGAAGAAGGGUUUCGGCUCGUAAAGCUCUGUUGUUAAAGGAGAGCACGUAUGAGAGUAACUGUUCAUACGUUGACGGUAUUUAACCAGAAAGUCACGGCUAACUACGUGCCAGCAGCCGCGGUAAUACGUAGGUGGCAAGCGUUAUCCGGAUUUAUUGGGCGUAAAGAGAGUGCGGGCGGUUUUCUAAGUCUGAUGUGAAAGCCUUCGGCUUAACCGGAGAAGUGCAUCGGAAACUGGAUAACUUGAGUGCAGAAGAGGGUAGUGGAACUCCAUGUGUAGCGGCGGAAUGCGUAGAUAUAUGGAAGAACACCAGUGGCGAAGGCGGCUACCUGGUCUGCAACUGACGCUGAGACUCGAAAGCAUGGGUAGCGAACAGGAUUAGAUACCCUGGUAGUCCAUGCCGUAAACGAUGAGUGCUAGGUGUUGGAGGGUUUCCGCCCUUCAGUGCCGGAGCUAACGCAUUAAGCACUCCGCCUGGGGAGUACGACCGCAAGGUUG
rnacentral:rRNA from 1 species